rnacentral:rRNA from 1 species
GAUGAACGCUAGCGGCAGGCCUAAUACAUGCAAGUCGAACGGUGUCUUCGGACAUAGUGGCGCACGGGUGCGUAACACGUAUGCAACCUACCUUACAUUGGGGGAUAGCCUUUCGAAAGGGAGAUUAAUACCGCAUAAGACAGUAGCUGGGCAUCCAGCAGCUGUUAAAGAUUUAUCGAUGUAAGCUGGGCAUGCGUCCAAUUAGCUAGUUGGCGAGGUAACGGCUCACCAAGGCAAUGAUUGGUAGGGGAACUGAGAGGUCAACCCCCCACACUGGCACUGAGAUACGGGCCAGACUCCUACGGGAGGCAGCAGUAGGGAAUAUUGGGCAAUGGACGCAAGUCUGACCCAGCCAUGCCGCGUGCAGGAUGAAGGCGUUAUGCGUUGUAAACUGCUUUUAUACAGGAAGAAACGACUCUUGCGAGAGGCAUUGACGGUACUGUAUGAAUAAGCACCGGCUAACUCCGUGCCAGCCGCCGCCGUAAUAC